UCAUUGCCAAAUUCUGCUGGGCCCCUGUCCUUGUGCCGCAGGGUGUGGUGGAAGAAAAAACCAAUUGGGAAAGAUAUGUGGCAUGGAGAAGCAUCUAUGGGAACUAGAUGGACUUUUAUACACUGGACAAUUCAUCCACCGGACUGACAGUUGUUCCCCAGUUUUACCCCAGUUUAUUGCUGUAUUGUCAUGGAGUUUUAUGUACCCCAGUUUACUGUUGAAUUUUUAUGAAGUUUGUUAUACCUCCAUAUUGUUCCCCUUUCUCCCUCAGAUUUUCCCGCCCAAAGUUGUUUGUCACCCUGUCCUCCCCUGCUUUCCCGCUCCUCUGCCACUGAUUGGCUACAGUUUGCUGCAGUGCAAAGAGAGCUCCCAUUGGCCCUUUCUCCUGGAGACUCCGAAGUUCCACCCGCCUUUUCCCUGUCUCCCUAUCACACUUUUCCCUGAGUUGUCAGUUCCAUGCUCCUCCCCAGUUCAGAAUCCUCCCCUCAGACUUACCUUAUUUAAAACCCUGUUGUCCCUGAAUAAAGUGGCAUUGCUGCACGAACCCU